GCUCCCAUCGUCUAGUCUGGCCUAGGACACAAGCUUUUCAAGCUUGGUACGUGGGUUCGAAUCCCGCUGGGAGCA
rnacentral:tRNA from 1 species